GACGAACGCUGGCGGCGUGCUUAACACAUGCAAGUCGAACGGUAAGGCCUUUCGGGGUACCCGAGUGGCGAACGGGUGAGUAACACGUGGGUGAUCUGCCCUGCACUUCGGGAUAAGCCCGGGAAACUGGGUCUAAUACCGGAUAGGACUGCGCGGUGCAUGCCGUGUGGUGGAAAGAUUUAUCGGUGCAGGAUGGGCCCGCGGCCUAUCAGCUUGUUGGUGGGGUAAUGGCCUACCAAGGCGACGACGGGUAGCCGGCCUGAGAGGGCGACCGGCCACACUGGGACUGAGACAGGGCCCAGACUCCUACGGGAGGCAGCAGUGGGGAAUAUUGCACAAUGGGCGCAAGCCGGAUGCAGCGACGCCGCGUGAGGGAUGACGGCCUUCGGGUUGUAAACCUCUUUCAGCAGGGACGAAGCGUGAGUGACGGUACCUGCAGAAGAAGCACCGGCCAACUACGUG
rnacentral:rRNA from 1 species